rnacentral:rRNA from 1 species
ACCUACGGGGGGCAGCAGUGAGGAAUAUUGGUCAAUGGGCGCAAGCCUGAACCAGCCAAGUCGCGUGAGGGAUGACGGUCCUAUGGAUUGUAAACCUCUUUUGUCGGGGAGCAAGGCCCGCCACGUGUGGCGGGAAGGAGAGUACCCGAAGAAAAAGCAUCGGCUAACUCCGUGCCAGCAGCCGCGGUAAUACGGAGGAUGCGAGCGUUAUCCGGAUUUAUUGGGGUUAAAGGGUGCGUAGGCGGAAGGUUAAGUCAGCGGUCAAAUGUCGGUGCUCAACAACGGCCUGCCGUUGAAAAUGGUCU